GGGGCACAGACAGGUCUUAUCUCGGAUAAGCAUUUUUAAUUUGAAUUAGUUUCUCAUUUCCUCACAGAAACAAUAUCUAUAAGAAAGUAUAAUAAUUAUCUAAAUUUCUACCUCUCGUAAACAACAUGGCACUUGCACAUGCUCACCUUUGCAAAGGUGAAUGCUCGGGUCUAAAGACCCAAAUCUAAAUAAUAAAACUGGGAAUGACAUUAGAAGUUAACAGAUUUUCAUCAGAGGAAAAAAGUUCUAAACAUGAAAUAUAUUCCUUA
rnacentral:lncRNA from 1 species